rnacentral:rRNA from 1 species
UUACCCGCUGAACUUAAGCAUAUCAAUAAGCGGAGGAAAA